CUGACAAUAAGGAGCGAAAGCGUGGGGAGCGAACAGGAUUAGAUACCUGGUAGUCCACCCCGUAAACGAUGAGUGCUAAGUGUUAGGGGGUUUCCGCCCCUUAGUGCUGCAGCUAACGCAUUAAGCACUCCGCCUGGGGAGUACGGUCGCAAGACUGAAACUCAAAGGAAUUGACGGGGGCCCGCACAAGCGGUGGAGCAUGUGGUUUAAUUCGAAGCAACGCGAAGAACCUUACCAGGUCUUGACAUCUUCUGACAACCCUAGAGAUAGGGGUUUCCCUUCGGGGACCGAGCAACGAGCAAAUUC
rnacentral:rRNA from 1 species